GGGGGUGUAGAUCAAUAGUUAGAGUGUCUGUUUAGCAAACAGGAGGCUUUGAGUUCAAAUCUUAAUAUGAUUA
rnacentral:tRNA from 1 species